GGAAAGCCUGCCUGGGCAUUUUGCUGUGCUGUGUCAAGGCAAAGCUCAUAGAACUUGGAUUUCCACAUUAGAAAAUCGCCCCCAUCCAGAGUGGCCCUGCAGAGCUGAAUUGGGGAAGGGCCAGAUUGGGCUGACUGUU